GCCCCACCGCCGCCUCGACGGCGUCGCCUGCCACCGCGCCUACACCAUGGGCUGCCAGGACGGCUACCGAUGGUGCCACGGCUCCUGCUGCCGCAACGACUCCUUCUUCUACUAUCCCGACUUGCAGCCGGAGGAGAGGGUUGCUACUCCACGCCGCUCACAGACAAACAACCUCUUGAAUUUCGGCGUGCGGCGUGUGGUUGCAAGUGGUCCCAUAGACUGGACGAAGAUACUGGAUGGGACGUUUGUCAUCAUCGAGUAAUAACGCGUCAAGAAGCGGGAAGUGGCUGUGGUUGAUUGAAAUAUUGUUUUUCAUAGGUCUCCAGUGCUUUCUAACGAAAUAUAGAAUAGCUGCUGGAUACUUAUAGUAGAGGACUGACGUGAGAUAUUCUCUGUGUCGAGUAUCUAAAUCUCAACGAAUAAAACGGCGCACUGAU